rnacentral:rRNA from 1 species
UACGUAGGGUGCAAGCGUUAAUCGGAAUUACUGGGCGUAAAGCGUGCGCAGGCGGUUCGCUAAGACAGAUGUGAAAUCCCCGGGCUUAACCCUGGGAACUGCAUUUGUGACUGGCGGGCUAGAGUAUGGCAGAGGGGGGGUAGAAUUCCGACGUGUAGCAGUGAAAUGCGUAGAGAUGUGGAGGAAUACCGAUGGCGAAGGCAGCCCCCUGGGCCAAUACUGACGCUCAUGCACGAAAGCGUGGGGAGCAAACAGG